GCGAGUCAAGCCGCGAUUGGAAGGACUUUGAGCAUAAGAACUCGGCGAGUCAGUAAGUGGACUCGGCGAGUAGGGUUGACCUGGAAGGUUGACUUUGACCAGGACUUUGACUUUGGCAAGAGUUGACUUGGUUGACCUUUGAAGGUCAGUUAGACUAAGUGUUAUGUUGAUGUUGGUAGCUCGGGGAGCUAGUGGAGCAGCAGUUCGGAGUCAGUGGUCAGGUAGCGGUCAAAGGGAUUAGCAGCAGCAUUUCAGCAGUAUCAGGUGAGUUUCCCUUUGUGUGAAUGGGUCUACGGCCACAAUGUCGGCCCAUGUAGACAUGAGUAGAAGACCCAGGGGUUAGCCCUAGGCAUCGUAUGCUAGUAUGUUGUUCGGGACGAGGUCCAAUGUUAGCGGGCGGGUGCCCAAGGAAUGGUUAUGUGAUAGUUUAUACUUGUUGUCUGUGUGAUACUUGUAUGUGCCUGGUAGGGAGGUGAGUGUGGGCGAGGUCCCGUAUCUCACCAAUAGCAGAGUGUGGAUGGUGUUCCACAUCUCAGUAGCAGCAGAGUAGGGGCGAGGCCCAAGUCAGGAAGGGAGUGAGUGUGGACUGGGCCCGUAUCUCACUACCAUUAGGAGCAUGGAUGGGGUUCCGUGACUCAUCAGUAGCAGGUCAGGGGCGGGGCCCAGAGAUAGGCGAGGCCUUAGGACAAGAUCCGUUAGUAUGUGUUUAUCUUAUGUGAGAUGUUUAUGUGCUAUUAUGUGAUAGCGGGCGAGGCCCUGUGACAGGCGAGGCCUACGUGAAACAGAUCUGUAUCCGAGCGGGGCUCGAAGCCAUGCGGGGCCUGGAGCGGCGGGGCCGUUGUAGGGGGCGAGGCCCAGGAUAGCGGGCGCAGCCCAGUAUGUGCAGUAUGUNNNNNNNNNNNNNNNNNNNNNNNNNNNNNNNNNNNNNNNNNNNNNNNNNNNNNNNNNNNNNNNNNNNNNNNNNNNNNNNNNNNNNNNNNNNNNNNNNNNNAAAGUAUCAGCCAUUGGGUGGAUUUUGGAGCCUUUUGGUCUUAAAUCCUAGUUCAUGGUGUAUUUUGCUUAGAUCUCCAUUUUUACACGUAAAGUUUGCAACUUUACGUGGGGAAUAGGCUUGGGAAGGGUAGAUCUACAGUUUGGAGUCCAUGCAUGACUCGAAAGUCCUCUACAUGUAAGUAGAUCUUAAUGGACUCGGCGAGUCCUUCGAGUCGACUCGGUGUGUAGCUUGAAGACAAGGAGGAACUUGACGAGUGGGAUGAACAGCUCGUCGAUUCGGAUGAAGAUAGGCAUGAACUCGGCGAGUUGGAUGAACAACUCGGCGAGUUAGAUGAAAAUUGUCGUGUGAUCGGCGAGUCUGUUCUUAGACUCGGCGAGUCAGGUCGCGUAGUCCCAAACCCUUCGAGUUAAGACUCGAGUCAGCGAGUUGAGCAAAGACUCAGUGAGUUGGUCAGGACAGGAUUCAGGAAUCUGUAGACUCGGCGAGUCAGGGGCUGACUCGGCGAGUCAAGUCGCGAUUGGAAGGACUUUGAGCAUAAGAACUCGGCGAGUCAGUAAGUGGACUCGGCGAGUAGAGUUGACCUGGAAGGUUGACUUUGACCAGGACUUUGACUUUGGCAAGAGUUGACUUGGUUGACCUUUGAAAGUCAGUUAGACUAAGUGUUAUGUUGAUGUUGGUAGCUCGAGGAGCUAGUGGAGCAGCAGUUCGGAGUCAGUGGUCAGGUAGCGGUCAAAGGGAUUAGCAGCAGCAGUUCAACAGUAUCAGGUGAGUUUCCCUUUGUGUGAAUGGGUCUACGGCCACAAUGCCGGCCCAUGUAGUUAUGAGUAGAAGACCCGGGGGUUAGCCCUAGGCACAGUAUGCUAGUAUGAUAUUCGGACGAGGUCCAAUGACAGAGGGCGGGUGCCCAAGGAGCGGUUUAUGUGAUAGUUUAUACUUGUUGUCUGUGUGAUACUUGUAUGUGCCUGGUAGGGAGGUGAGUGUGGGCGAGGUCCCGUAUCUCACCAAUAGCAGNGGAGUGAGUGUGGGUUGGGCCCGUAUCUCACUACCAGUAGGAGCAUGGACGGGGUUCCGUGACUCAUCAGUAGCAGGUCAGGGGUGGGGCCCAGAGAUAGGCGAGGCCUUAGGACAAGAUCCGUUAGUAUGUGUUUAGCUUAUGUGAGAUGUUAUGUGCUAUUAUAUGAUAGCGGGCGAGGCCCUGUGACAGGCGAGGCCUACGUGAAAUAGAUCUGUAUCCGAGCAGGGCUCAAAGCUAGGCGGGGCCUUGAGCGGCGGGGCCGUUGUAGCGGGCGAGGCCCGAGGUAGGGGGCGAGGCCCAGGAUAGCGGGCGCGACCCAGUAUGUGCAGUUUGUGGUUAUGCAUGGUAUGUGGUAGGGUGGGGAACUCACUAAGCUUCGUGCUUACGGUUUUCAGUUUUGGUUUCAGGUACCUCCGGUAGCGGAUGAUGGAGCUCGGGAUGAUCGCAUGGCACACACCAUAGCUUAGACAGCCUGGGAAUGUUUACUCUGAUAACGAAUAUGUAUUUUGGAAACUAACACUUUGUUUAUGUUUGAAAACGAUGAAUUUGCUUAACGUAAUGUUUUAUCAAAUGAAAUUUUUAGUCUUGAAUUUUUGGAUGUUACAUCUAUAAUCAAAUUACUCUAUAUAAUUAUCUUAUAAGAAAGAAGAUUCUUACUUUGAGAUGUUAGCUUAAAUAUGAGAAGAUUUUCAAUCAUGUAUGUUUUCUCCCUUGAAAACUCUCUUACUAUUUAUAGUCAAACUAUAUCGAGGAAGAUUAAUCAAGCCCAUACUUUAUGAGCAUAC
rnacentral:lncRNA from 1 species